AAUGGGAAACGUUCCUACCUAUCUUGUAUUCAGUUUACCUGGAUUUAAUCUCCUUAGUUUGAAUUAGCGGAGGAGAAUGUGUUUAUGUCUGUAUCCAUAGAUGGAAAUAGAGAUAGACUCCUUACUUGAGUGCACAAUGUUUAUUUUAUCCUAAAAGUUUGUUUUCCUUUCCCCCCUCCCACUACAGUGUCACUGCUGCUGUAUUUUAUUAGACCUCUGGUUUUCAUUAUGCAAAAAGUCAAAACUGGAACGUUGUAAAUCUCCCCUCUCCUUCCCGCUCGCUGCUCUGAAGCUCGGCCGCCAUUCGAUGCCUGACGGCUUCUCCUACCAACGCACACUAUUUCCAGGGGCUCUGGGGAACUGGAGUUAAGUCUCAAGGAAAAGAAAAGCAAUUGCAAAAUGGGAAUGGAAACCUUGGUCUGUCUGGUGUUUGUUUCAGCACUGUCAGGCAGAAAAAGAAAACAAGAAGUGUACAUAUGAUGCUUGAGACUUCCUGGUAUUACUGCUGCCAAUCUACAAAAUUCAUAUCGCUGGCCCAGUGAUGAUGAUCUUCUCACUACUGUCACAGUUGCCUUGAGAAGUUCCCACAGGAGAAGCCAGAUAAUGUCUGGAAAAGAAUAAAGGAAGCUGGAACUGUAAGGGAAGUUGAAAAGGACCCAUGCAUCUGUGGACGAGGGGAUCACAGCCUGUGGCAGAGUAUCUCAGCCUCCCUCGCUUUUGGAUGUGUUCAUCACACUGAACCCACAGCCCCAUGUGGGAUGCAGAGUAAUGCCCACUGCAUAUGUACCAAUGAAGUUAUAGAUGUCAAGAGAGGUGCAGUAGUAUCACAGGCCUUGUCAAUGAGACCACCACCUUGCCAGCCUGGCUGAACCCUAAGCGUCUUCCUGAAACAGACUGUCAUGUUUGUCCAGCUGUCAAAUUUACUGAUCCAACAAAAGCAAUGGAAUCUCAAGCAAUGCAGAAGUGGCAAAAUGGGUGAGGCAAGACCAAUUGUUGGGACUCUGCUCUCUAUCUUCUCAUUACAGCUCUGCUACGCAUGCAUAAAUGCCUUUUCCCCAAAAUAAAGAGAGUCCUCAAAGAACAGAAUAAACCUCUGGCUGCAGUAGGAAUAUCUAGUGCUCUUUAUGAGAGUUUGCCUGGCACUUGAAGUAUUGUAGUCAAGAUCUCACUCCUUUCAAAAUAUUGUAGAUCUGGAAGCAAUACUGAAGCAUCAAGUAUGAUGUCACUUGUCCAUGCUAAGCUCAGCUAUAGCAGAUGGCUUCUGCUGCAGAAGACUAUCCUGGCCCUUCAUUCCUGGACAGUUUCUUAUGCUAACGGAUCCCACUUUUUUCCUAGCUUUCCUCCAUAUAAUAUUUUGUGGAUUUCUGUUAAUUUUUAUGGCUCUCUGUUACACUCUCUAUGACCAGCACCAAAUACAGUGACCAUGAUGAGAUGGUAACACCAAAUAAAUAAUCAAGAAUACCCAAUGUGUUCACAGAUUGCAUACAUGUAUCUAUGUUGUGCUUACUCAUUUUAAUAACAAUGUGCUGUUAAUGAUUACAUUACAAGCUUUAAACUCCUUUUGAUAAAAAUGAUCCCUAUCUUCUUUUUUUGAGCUUGGUAAGGUUCCCCAUAAUUGUAGUAUUUUGCAUUUGUCCCUGUUCGUUUCAUUUUAUUCCUUCCUUUACAGACCGUUCAUUUAUUUUAUCAAGAUCAUCUCUGGCAGUCUUUGAUUUCUCAUCAAACUUAUUUGCACUCUUCCUCAGCUUCAUGGAGAUCUCAGUUCCACUCUCUAAAUUGUUUAGAAAACACCAUCUUGUAUAGGUCAGGCAUACUAUGGACUCUGGACUCGACAAUAUUUGUCCUCCUAUUUUGACAGUGAAUUAAUGUCAUCUGCUGUAUCAGUAUGAUUUUCCAGUUGAUUUUGCACACAUUUGAUAUUUGAUUCUUUCAAACCUGCUUUCCUUGCUUUGCUCUUUCAAAGAGUCAUUGUCACAGCGUUGAGAACACAUGGAUUAUAGGUGUGGUACUAAAAAGCAAACAAGACUUUAUAUCUAUUGAGAGAACAUAACGUACAACAAUUACUGGUUUUCCUUCAAUCCGCAGGUCCACUCAAUAGCUAAAAAGAGAAAUUAAAUUGGAUUUUGACAAAUCCAUAGAUUGAUUCAAAAAUCCAGGUGUGCUUUUUUCCCUUCCUUUGCAAUCCCUGUAAAUUGUCACAAAUAGUCACUUUUGGCUAUUUCUCCAUAACUCCAAACAACUGAGUUAAAUUGGCUAGUCAAUAAUUAUUUGGCCUUCUUUUCAAAGUAUGUCAUAUUUGCUUUUAUCUGCUUUUGAGUACCUCACCCAAAAAUCACAUAUUCUGUAAGACCACCAUCAGUGGUUACAGGAGUACAUCACCCAGUUCCUGAAGUAUUCCAGGAUGAAAGUUAGUUCUUUGGAAUCAACAAAUAAGAAAAUGCAAAGCCAAGCAAAGUGCUCUCUAACCUAUCUUUUCUCUGUCUGAGGGACAGAUUAUUUCCUUUGCUAUUGAUUUUAAUUGUAGAAACCACUUUUUAGGGAAUAUUGAUUAAAAAAAAAAAAAAGAAAAGCAUUAUGUAUAUUACCUCCCAGUGUCAUCUAUUAGUAGGCUUCCCCUUCUGUUUAUAAGUUCACUAAGCUUGCUUUUCCUAUUACUGAUGCAUUGUUAGAAUAAUUUCAGUAGCCAAGGUUUCUAGGAAUAGCAUGUAAUUUUCUGCCUUGGCCUUCCUGAUGUUGUAUCUGUGUGCUGUUGAAAAUCUGUCUUUAGUACUCCAUUAUACUUCCUGCUUCCUGUAUAAUUUUCUCUAAUGUAUGGGAUCAAAAUGACCUAACCAAUCUGAUUGCUUACUCCCUGCUUAUCUUCUGCAACUGGAAACUUUGCACUUGCAUCUUUAAUACCAUUUCUUUAAAGUUAUGUGAUUUCUUUCAAUUUCCCCUUUUACCUUGGAUCAGUCUUCCAGGAAAUCUUACCUAAUGACCCUCUGGAUAACUUAAAUCUGCCCUCCUGAAAUCCUGUUGCUUUUACUGCAGUGUUGCCUCUUUCCAUACGAAGAAAAUGUGAAUUCUGUCAUUUCCCCAUCACUGACACCCGAGAUACUCUUUGACCGGCCCCAUGCUGUGCCUCUGUUUGUUGGUUUGGAUCCAGCACUCCUCUGUGGCAAACCAAAAGAAAGGCUGCAGGGGUCUGACUCUGUCAGCACCUAGCAAACAGUUAAUGCAUUGUAAUAGGGGUAAUAAAGGAGUAAUUUUAUGUAUCGUUCUUCUGGUUUUGGUCACAACUACUCACAGAAUGCUUUAUCCCAGGCACACAAGCCUGUGAGAGUGCUUUUACUCGCUUGAAAUAUGCAUGUUAAAAAUAACAGCAUUAAUUCUUACCUUACCACUUCACCACAAAUAAAUGUAAAGGAAUAUAUAAAGAGUGUGAAUAGCAUAUAUCUAGCCAAAUACAUGUGUUGUUACAAAAAACUUAGUUUCAGCAAUGUUAAGAGUCCCCUCUGGUCCAUAUCUUGGGUUUCUCUUAUACCCUGCUACUGACUUGUUCUCUGACUGCAGAGACAACUUGUAAAAGCAACCACUGACAUUUUGACCAAUCUUCUAAGAGAAUAAUCCAGACCAGGGGACAGUGAUUAUAUAAUUUCCCUACCUGAUUUUUUACAACCUGCUUCUUACUCUGCUCCUGUUAUGGCACUGAGUUCAGUGACAAGGCACACUCACUUAACUGCCUCAUUGCAGUUAAUUCUUUGAAUAGUUAAUGCCUGCUUUAUGUGAAUUUUCUUAACAGACACCACACCACUCUAUGGCUGCAUUGUUCUUUUCCCAAGGUGGUCUUUUUUAUAGUGUGAGAAGUACAACAUUAUUGUUUUCUUUCCUGAUUAGAAGCCUUUUGGACAAGAUUUAUGCAGGGAUUUGUGUGUAUAUUGGCCUAUAUUUGUGUAAGGCGAGGAGAAAGAAGAGAAUCCCUGUAACCGUGUUUCACUGGCUUUCCAGAGAAACGGUUUAUGAUGUCCUCGUUCUGAGUAGAUUAUUUGAAGUAGCCUUAACAGGAAUCAAAAGCAUGUGUAAACCCUCGUUUGUUCAAAUUUACUCCCCGUAAGGCCUUAUCUCCAAGCAUUGUCUCCAAGGCUCACGACCAAGGAAGAUCUCCCAAGUCCUCAUGUUUCUGCUCUGCCUGCCAUUGCUCAGAGCACUGAGAACACAGGUCACUACACGUGCCCUCAGAUAUUCAAGUCAACUGUUCAAAAAAUAAAUAUGGAAACCAACUUUCCUUAACUUCCCACUCUUCAUUUCUUUUUACUUCAAAUGCCUUUCUUUCCCCUGUGACUUGCUACUCUAUAACACCUGCACCUCCUUUUAUAUUGUGCUGGAUCUCUCCUGGACUCUCUACCAUCUCAUCUUUCACACUCCUUUCCAGAUCUCCCCAGAUUUGUGUAGCACACUAUUGUUUUCCACUCUUAAAUUAAAAUAGCAAAGUAGAAAAAGAGAAGCAAACCCUUAGCGUAUUACUUUCUUCUAGGCCUACUACAGCUCCCUUAGUUGCUAGUAUAAACUAAAAGCUCCUCAAGAAGAAAAGAGCUCUUGCAUGUAUUACUUUGUCCACUGCUGGCUCCCUGAACUGUCCCCAGUGGGAUAUGAACAACACCUCGAUGUCACUUCACUGCCACGGACAGGAUCCAAAGUAUUUGUUAACAGUAGGGAGGCAACUGAAAUUGAAGAUAAGCAAAGAACCAGAGCUCUUGCUUGAGUACAUCAUUGACAGAGUUCACAGACGUAGAAGUUGCUUAAACUGUCUGAAGUAGGUCAUUCAGAAGAGCCUCAGAAAGAGGCAAGUUACCAGUUUUUCUCUCUGCUACAGAGUGAUACAGAGGAUGAGAACUACACUUAGUCCACCAGCAAUUUUUAACUCCUGUACGGAGCAGGAUAUACUAAUAACAUGUCAACUUUCAUCACAGCAAAAUAUGCCUAAGCAAUGCAGAGAAGGCAUGUCUAUUAUGAAUGGCACUACUAAUGAAAUAGUACUACUAAUGAAAUAGGGAUGCUAUUGUUCCACUGUGAGAAGAAAGAUUGUUUUAAAUUGUCAGUUUCUUCUUCUGGAGGUAAAGCAAGAUUACUUCAUCUCUGUAAGUAUUAACAAUGGGUUCAUAUGAGAUUCUGAAGCCUCAAAUAACUACCUUUUCAAAUCCCAGUCAGCAAUAUGGCCAAAACCCCAUACAAACACUGAGGUCCUCAGGAUUGCAGUGCUGGCGGUAUUCAAGCAGUUUGUGUAUGUUCUCCUUCCUUUUCCCUUUUCCUUAGUGCUUAAUAUGGUAGUUUUUUUGCAAUCUAAUAUACUUCAGCCUUUUCCUCCUAUUAUUCCUUCCUUCCUUAUUCUCAGCAAGAUUUAUUUUCUCUUUACUUUUCCCUGUUUCCUUUUUGCUCAUUUCCAUUAUUCCCUAGUUUGGCCAGUUUGGCAUCAAUCAGCAGUGCUCUCCAUUCCUCUUUUCACAUGAUAUAUAUUUUUAUCCACCACCAAAAAGCAAAUUUCACCGCAUCUGUUCUAUACCUCUUUCUUACCAGUUCCAGGGGUGGCAGCGUUCACAUUAACACAAUACAGGCUGUGGCACACGGUAUUCAUUUUUUGUUGCUUCAGGUCUUGUCAGUUUACUCACUCGUCUUGAAACUUUUACUGGUUGCAAGCUUCUUCUUCUCUUACAGGGAUUCAAGGGGGCUGAGGGUGCAUGUGUGUGUCUAUCUGCUGUCUCCUCUUCAGUGAAGGCUUUGCCAAUUUUAGCAGCCAGAGUCGGGUCUACACAGACACAUGAAAAAGUGAUUAUGGUGUCGGCAGACAUAGCUUUAAGUUAGGUAGCACACGUAAUGGUACAGGUGCUGGAGGCAGCAAGAAAGGAAUAAGUGCAGGCUAGCGCCCAGAGUACAUAUUAACCCCCAAAUCCCUGGGGUAGUCCAGUUUUCAGCCUAUCCUAAAAAACAUUGCAGUCUGUCAUGAACUGCUGUCAACACCAGAGCAACUUAGGUAAAACCUAGUACCUGUGCCACAAUCAAGCCUUCAGUCUCAUCUGUAAAUGUACCUUGGAAGACUUUGGUGACAGAACAGUCUUUGUGCAUUUAACCUGGAAUGUGCUCCAGUGCAUGCCAGGGGCAGAUUUAGAAGGAUUAUGGUAGCUGGCUAACAGUAUCUGUAACUACCAGUGCCAGACUUAUAAAUGGAACAGAAAUUUAAACAGGUUCAAGACUUUUUUUUUGCUUCAGUCAGCUGGAACCUGAACUAGGCUACAUCCUGUCUGGCUUCAUCUGCCUGUUUCUAGUAUUAGUAUUGACUAAAAAUACCAGUAUAAACCCUGCAAAAGUGAUCUCGGCACAUCUGACUGAGAUGCUCUCCUUAUAAAUGUAACGCAAAUUGGCAUAUUUCAUCCUGAAUCUCCUCACUCUGUGAGGAGUACAAGUGCUGGGUAGAAAGACAGUUGCUCUAAGAAGAGGAAGAGCCCGGGGUACCUGUCACCUAAGAGUACACACAUGGGUCAAGGUAAUCUUUCAACCAAUGUAAUUGAUUAAUCACCUGAGUUCUGAAAGGUGUGAGCAGGCUCCCUCCUUUGGUGGAGUGCUUUGGAGAUUAAGUCAAGAAAAAUGCCACAUCAAGAAAAACAGGUCUUGUGGGUUCUUGGACAAACAGGGGUAGACAAAAUUCUGUUUGGAGAGUGACCAAAAAAGCCUCUUAAAUGCACAUGAAAGCUGAGCGAUGGGAGCUCCUGACCUAGCCCAGCUUCAGGCCCUGCACUGUCAGCACCUCUCACUGAUUUGUUGAAAAGCAUACAGAAAGCAUACAGAAAGAAGACCAACUUUGCUUUAGAGUACAUUUAACAGACUGCCAACAAAAACUAAAAAUGAUGAACUUUUCUUGCCGUGAAAAGGACAUUUUUGAAUGUAGUUCAUGCUCUGCUUUACAAAGCUCUGAUCUAAGAGGAGAGGGAAUUAACUAUUUAAAACAGAAAACUUGCUCCUAACUUUGUCCAUUGUCAAAUCCUGAAUUGAAAAAUAAAACAAGUUUUGUGCCUUACUUCUAGCAUAAGGAGUUAUAUAGCUCUUGGGAUUUUGUGUCUUUUUAUGUAUUCAGUGUCAUCUUAAAGCUAAGAGGGCAUAAUUCGUACUAUUUGUAGUGUUUCUUGUCUUUCAAAUUUGUAAUUACAUACCCAUAUUCAGGAAUUAUUAGUGGAAUGAAAUC